UUAGAGUUUUNAUCAUGGCUCAGAUUGAACGCUGGCGGCAGGCCUAACACAUGCAAGUCGAGCGGUAGCACAGAGAGCUUGCUCUCGGGUGACGAGCGGCGGACGGGUGAGUAAUGUCUGGGAAACUGCCUGAUGGAGGGGGAUAACUACUGGAAACGGUAGCUAAUACCGCAUAACGUCGCAAGACCAAAGUGGGGGACCUUCGGGCCUCAUGCCAUCAGAUGUGCCCAGAUGGGAUUAGCUAGUAGGUGGGGUAAUGGCUCACCUAGGCGACGAUCCCUAGCUGGUCUGAGAGGAUGACCAGCCACACUGGAACUGAGACACGGUCCAGACUCCUACGGGAGGCAGCAGUGGGGAAUAUUGCACAAUGGGCGCAAGCCUGAUGCAGCCAUGCCGCGUGUAUGAAGAAGGCCUUCGGGUUGUAAAGUACUUUCAGCGAGGAGGAAGGCGUUAAGGUUAAUAACCUUGGCGAUUGACGUACUCGCAGAAGAAGCNGGGCUACAAA
rnacentral:rRNA from 1 species